GACGAACGCUGGCGGCGUGCCUAAUACAUGCAAGUAGGACGCACAGCCUAUACCGUAGCUUGCUACACCAUAGGCUGUGAGUUGCGAACGGGUGAGUAACGCGUAGGUAACCUGCCUAUUAGAGGGGGAUAACUAUUGGAAACGAUAGCUAAUACCGCAUAACAGUAUGUAACACAUGUUAGAUGCUUGAAAGAUGCAAUUGCAUCGCUAGUAGAUGGACCUGCGUUGUAUUAGCUAGUAGGUAGGGUAAUGGCCUACCUAGGCAACGAUACAUAGCCGACCUGAGAGGGUGAUCGGCCACACUGGGACUGAGACACGGCCCAGACUCCUACGGGAGGCAGCAGUAGGGAAUCUUCGGCAAUGGGGGGAACCCUGACCGAGCAACGCCGCGUGAGUGAAGAAGGUUUUCGGAUCGUAAAGCUCUGUUGUUAAGGAAGAACGAGUGUGAGAAUGGAAAGUUCAUACUGUGACGGUACUUAACCAGAAAGGGACGGCUAACCACGUGCCAGCAGCCGCGGUAAUACGUAGGUCCCGAGCGUUGUCCGGAUUUAUUGGGCGUAAAGCGAGCGCAGGCGGUUAGAAAAGUCUGAAGUGAAAGGCAGUGGCUCAACCAUUGUAGGCUUUGGAAACUGUUUAACUUGAGUGCAGAAGGGGAGAGUGGAAUUCCAUGUGUAGCGGUGAAAUGCGUAGAUAUAUGGAGGAACACCGGUGGCGAAAGCGGCUCUCUGGUCUGUCACUGACGCUGAGGCUCGAAAGCGUGGGGAGCGAACAGG
rnacentral:rRNA from 1 species